rnacentral:rRNA from 1 species
GACGAACGCUGGCGGCGUGCUUAACACAUGCAAGUCGAGCGGCGCGGCGAACGAGUGAGUAACGCGUGAGUAACUGCCCCCCUCUCUGUGAUAACAGUUGGAAGCGGCCACUAAUACCGGAUAGUGGGGGUGGACUCGCGUCCUAUCAGCUUGUGGGUGGGGUAGUUGCCUACCAAGGCGACGACGGGUCGCCCGCCUGGGAAGGCGACCGGCCACAUUGGGCUGAGGUACGGCCCAAAAGCCUACGUGAGGCAGCGGUGGGGAAUAUUGCAGAAUGACGGAAACGAUGAUGCAGAAGCGCCGCGUGCGGGAUAACGGCCUGCGGGUUGUAAACCGCUAUCAGACAAGACGCGGUAGUGGCAGAAGAAGCACCGGCUAACUACGUGCCAGCAGCCGCGGUAAUUC